rnacentral:rRNA from 1 species
CCAGACUCCUACGGGAGGCAGCAGUGAGGAAUAUUGGUCAAUGGGCGAGAGCCUGAACCAGCCAAGUCGCGUGAGGGAGUACUGCCCUAUGGGUUGUAAACCUCUUUUGUCGGGGAGCAAAAGCCGGACGUGUCCGGCUGUGAGAGUACCCGAAGAAAAAGCAUCGGCUAACUCCGUGCCAGCAGCCGCGGUAAUACGGAGGAUGCGAGCGUUAUCCGGAUUUAUUGGGUUUAAAGGGUGCGCAGGCGGCGUGUCAAGUCGGCGGUAAAAUGUCGGGGCUCAACCCCGGCCGGCCGUUGAAACUGGCGUGCUCGAGUUGGAGAGAGGUAUGCGGAAUUCGUGGUGUAGCGGUGAAAUGCAUAGAUAUCACGAAGAACCCCGAUUGCGAAGGCAGCAUACCGGCUCCACACUGACGCUGAGGCACGAAAGCGUGGGUAUCGAACAGGAUUAGAUACCCCUGUA